rnacentral:lncRNA from 1 species
GGACAGGUGUGGUGAAAUGUGUUUUACAAGGUCAACCAUAGUAGUACAGAUUUUUCAGCUUGUCAGCUCAGACAAUCGAAUCAGUGACCUUUUAGUUACCGGCUCAAUGCCCUGUUGUAAACAGUCUGUUGAUGGGUUAUAUUUAAGAUAAUGUUUUACAUCUAUGUCGUUUAAUUUUUCAUGUUUAAAACAUCUUAUUAAAAAUUUUUAUAUAUUUGACAUGUUCUGAAAAUUACCCCCAAAAAUGUACUGGUACAUUUAUAAAGUUACCGGUAACAUUCCUUUCCUUCACAACCCUACACAUUAACUUAUAUUCAAAAACGUACAGUUUUAAAAAAUCUAAUAUUGGUCACAUAUACAUAUUUAGUAGAUGUUAUUGCGGGUGUUCCUAGCUCCAACAAUACAGUUUUAGAAUGGGUCUGAACAACUGCAUGACAAAGCCAGGAUAGGAACUUCAACAAUACGUAGGUGGACAUAUCACACAAAAUUAUAGUUUUGUAAAUUUCACUGUAAACGGAACUGUAAAGUAAAUAUAAUACAAAUAAAUACAAGCUUAAAAGUAAGUAUUGCCUCUGUUUUUAGAUGUAGAUACAUGGUAUGUAGUUUAAGCAGCACUGUUGUUCCUCAACAGCUAAAGGACUGGAACUGAAAAUGAAUUUGGUGUCCCGUCCAUAUAUGGGUGGAGGGUGGGGGCUAUUUCAAAUGAGAAAUUGUGCAGGGAAGAAAAAGUGCGGACUUGGUAAAGUGAGAGAACUGGAACGGGUCAGAGAGAAAACAAAGGUGGUGUGGAGUGGGGGUGUGGAGGGGUGCCUGGGAACCUCCAGGUAUGGACCUGUCUGGAUGGUUCUCCUCUCCCUGAGUCCCUGCCACACAAAGGUGGCAGGCUGAGCUGGCACAGGGCCAGCGGUGGAGCCUGCCGACCCAGGUGUAGGGUUACAGGGCGCCAUUCAGCCCAGGAAGUGUCCCAUGUCUCACUGUCCCCUGGCCCAUCAAAGGGUCUGCUGUGUACUCUCCAUCUGCCCAGGCCAGACGGGGCCCACGGGCAGGCCCGCGGGUUUGAACAAGGUCCUUUUAAAGUAUUUCGUUAUUCAAGACAAAUUUUCAACAAUGAUUGGACAAACUCCUCUCAGUUGGACACGUUGGUUUCUGAUGGUGUAACUUACAGCUAAAGUAUAGAGACAGAGAAGAUGUCCUGAACAUUACCUCUCAGACCUGCUCUCUGAGUGGGUUUCUAAACAGAUUUGGCAUAAAAACAAAGCUGGCCCUUAAAGAGAAAAGUAUCAAUGCUUGAAAGAUACAUUUUCACUGCUGAAAAUCACAUUACUUUCAUGUUCAGACAGAGGGACACUCAGGAGCUAUCAGGACUCCAAGAGUAUGCUAAACAGAUUGGUAAAAAAAGGUACUGCUGACACAUCAUUUCUCUGUUAAAUGAACAACAAAGAUGGAAUGUAAUAUGACAUUUUAUUCAAUCGUUUGGGAAAUGGCAUCAUCUCUGAGUGAAGAUCCUCGGAGCCAGAUGAUGUGAUGGCAGGUAACCCUAUGCGGGACAGCUGGCAUCGAAAUCCCCCCCUCGCUGGUGGAAAGGAGUUCCAAUGACGGGCCUUAAAGUUCUCAUAGUAGCUGGUGGAAAGGAGUUCCAAUGACGGGCCUUAAAGUUCUCAUAGUAGCUGGUGGAAAGGAGUUCCAAUGACGGGCCUUAAAGUUCUCAUAGUAGCUGGUGGAAAGGAGUUCCAAUGACGGGCCUUAAAGUUCUCAUAGUAGCUGGUGGAAAGGAGUUCCAAUGACGGGCCUUAAAGUUCUCAUAGUAGCUGGUGGAAAGGAGUUCCAAUGACGGGCCUUAAAGUUCUCAUUGUUGCUGGUGGAAAGGAGUUCCAAUGACGGGCCUUAACCUGUUUAGGAUAGGGGGCAGUAUUUUCACGGCCGGAUAAAAAACAUACCCGAUUUAAUCUGGUUAUUACUCCUGCCCAGAAACUAGAAUAUGCAUAUAAUUAUUUGAUUUGGAUAGAAAACACC